AAAAAAUAAGAGAAUAAUGCGUAAAAAAUCACUUUCAAAAAAUAGAUUAUUUUUUUUCGCCGAGCGCAGCUAGAUACGACUGCAGAAGUCCAAUCCUCUGUUUUUAGACUAUAGACAAAGAAAUAGCAAAAUAAAUUGUGAAUAAUCCUUAAAUUUAAAAAAAAAAAAAAAAUUGACCCCCCACCCCUAAAAAUAUUUUACCCCCAAUUUUUUUUCCAAAAAAACUGGUAAUUUCGUAAAUCUGGAAGAAAAAAAAGUUUGGCCCCCCAUUUUUUUUUACCCCCCCCC
rnacentral:lncRNA from 1 species